UACGUAGGUGGCAAGCGUUGUCCGGAUUUAUUGGGUUUAAAGGGAGCGUAGGCGGAUUGAUAAGUCAGUGGUGAAAGCCCCAAGCUCAACUUGGGAAUUGCCAUUGAUACUGUUAAUCUUGAGUGCGGUUGAAGUGGGCGGAAUAUGACAUGUAGCGGUGAAAUGCUUAGAUAUGUCAUAGAACACCGAUUGCGAAGGCAGCUCACUAAGCCGCAACUGACGCUGAGGCUCGAAAGCGUGGGGAGCAAACAGG
rnacentral:rRNA from 1 species